rnacentral:sRNA from 1 species
CUGCUGAAAGUUGUGUAUGAGUAGUCAUAUCAUAAAGCUGCUUUGAUAUGAAAAAGGUCUAUGGCCAUGCUACCCUGAAUGAGUCCCAUCCCAUCUGAUAUAAACAAUCUGCAUAUUGGGAUUGUCAGGGAAUGUUCUUAAAGAUCAGAUUAGUGGCUACCCACAUUACCUGCAAGGCUUUGAUCUUUCUUCUGCCAUUUCUACAUUGGACAUCUCUGCUGAGAAGAGAAAAUGAACCACUCUUUUCUUUUGUAUAAUAGUUGUUUUAUUCUUCAGACAGAAGAGAGGAGUUAUACAGUUCUGCAGACAUCCCAUUCCUGUAUGGGGACCGUGUUUGCCUCUUAGAGGCUCCCAGGCCACUAGAAGAGAUAACAGAUUGUUAUAACUUGAUAUAAUGAUACUAUAAUAGAUGUAACUAUAAGAAGCUCCAGAAGCAAGAGAGAGGGAGGAACUUGGACUUCUCUGC